AGUGAACGCUGGCGGUAGGCCUAACACAUGCAAGUCGAACGGCAGCACAGUAAGAGCUUGCUCUUACGGGUGGCGAGUGGCGGACGGGUGAGGAAUACAUCGGAAUCUACUUUUUCGUGGGGGAUAACGUAGGGAAACUUACGCUAAUACCGCAUACGACCUACGGGUGAAAGCAGGGGAUCUUCGGACCUUGCGCGAUUGAAUGAGCCGAUGUCGGAUUAGCUAGUUGGCGGGGUAAAGGCCCACCAAGGCGACGAUCCGUAGCUGGUCUGAGAGGAUGAUCCGCCACACUGGAACGGAGACAAGGUCCAGGCGCCUACGGGAAGGAGCAGUGGGGAAAAUUGGACAAUGGGGGCAAGCCUGAUCCAGCCAUACCGCGUGGGGGAAGAAGGGCGUCGGGUUGGAAAGCCCUUUUGUUGGGGAAGAAAAGCAGCAGGUUAAUACCCCGCUGUUCUGACGGUACCCAAAGAAUAAGCACCGGCUAACUUCGUGC
rnacentral:rRNA from 1 species